rnacentral:rRNA from 1 species
AAGCUAUUUAGGUAGCGCCUCGUGAAUUCAUCUCCGGGGGUAGAGCACUGUUUCGGCUAGGGGGCCAUCCCGGCUUACCAACCCGAUGCAAACUGCGAAUACCGGAGAAUGUUAUCACGGGAGACACACGGCGGGUGCUAACGUCCGUCGUGAAGAGGGAAACAACCCAGACCGCCAGCUAAGGUCCCAAAGUCAUGGUUAAGUGGGAAACGAUGUGGGAAGGCCCAGACAGCCAGGAUGUUGGCUUAGAAGCAGCCAUCAUUUAAAGAAAGCGUAAUAGCUCACUGGUCGAGUCGGCCUGCGCGGAAGAUGUAACGGGGCUAAACCAUGCACCGAAGCUGCGGCAGCGACGCUUAUGCGUUGUUGGGUAGGGGAGCGUUCUGUAAGCCUGCGAAGGUGGCCUGUGAGGGUUGCUGGAGGUAUCAGAAGUGCGAAUGCUGACAUAAGUAACGAUAAAGCGGGUGAAAAGCCCGCUCGCCGGAAGACCAAGGGUUCCUGUCCAACGUUAAUCGGGGCAGGGUGAGUCGACCCCUAAGGCGAGGCCGAAAGGCGUAGUCGAUGGGAAACGGGUUAAUAUUCCCGUACUUGGUGUUACUGCGAAGGGGGGACGGAGAAGGCUAUGUUGGCCGGGCGACGGUUGUCCCGGUUUAAGCGUGUAGGCUGGUUUUCCAGGCAAAUCCGGAAAAUCAAGGCUGAGGCGUGAUGACGAGGCACUACGGUGCUGAAGCAACAAAUGCCCUGCUUCCAGGAAAAGCCUCUAAGCAUCAGGUAACAUCAAAUCGUACCCCAAACCGACACAGGUGGUCAGGUAGAGAAUACCAAGGCGCUUGAGAGAACUCGGGUGAAGGAACUAGGCAAAAUGGUGCCGUAACUUCGGGAGAAGGCACGCUGACACGUAGGUGAAGUGAUUUACUCACGGAGCUGAAGUCAGUCGAAGAUACCAGCUGGCUGCAACUGUUUAUUAAAAACACAGCACUGUGCAAACACGAAAGUGGACGUAUACGGUGUGACGCCUGCCCGGUGCCGGAAGGUUAAUUGAUGGGGUCAGCGCAAGCGAAGCUCCUGAUCGAAGCCCCGGUAAACGGCGGCCGUAACUAUAACGGUCCUAAGGUAGCGAAAUUCCUUGUCGGGUAAGUUCCGACCUGCACGAAUGGCGUAAUGAUGGCCAGGCUGUCUCCACCCGAGACUCAGUGAAAUUGAACUCGCUGUGAAGAUGCAGUGUACCCGCGGCAAGACGGAAAGACCCCGUGAACCUUUACUAUAGCUUGACACUGAACAUUGAGCCUUGAUGUGUAG